CCUUGUGUUAUAUAUAAGGCCUCAGAUGGCAAGGGUAGACCUAAAGUCGACCGGUCGAGCUGAGUGUCGGUGAAGGAAGAAGCAGCAGCGAUGAAGCAGCCGCCGGCGUCGUCGUACUUGUACAACCAGCAGCAGGAUGAGGAAAUCGAGGAGGCGGCGGGCGUGUCUAUCGGCAUGGAGAUUGAUGACUCCGACCCCGUCGACAUCCUCGCCGACUUCGAUCGCCAGCAGCCUCCCGUCGACGUCGACUUCUUCAACUCCUUUGAGGACGAUUUCGACGAUCAGGAUCUCGCCUGACCGCAUUCCUCCCCUCUCGCCCUCUUUCGCUUCUGCUCUUUGGGACUGCGAGCAUAGUAAAGAAGCAAGCCAUGGAAUCCUUCAACAGCUUAUUUCUUGUGUCAAUUUCCUUUAGUACGAGUCUGUUUUUCGCAUCGUGCUGCCAUGGACACGAAUGCUCAUCAGCUGCUAUGUCGAGUUGGUGAGACAUAGUUUGAGCAAUUAUAAUUGCGUAUCAACUGUAAUGAAGACUGAACUUAAGACCCCCAAACCUAUCGUCGAUCAUGUGCUUGGUCGAGAGGGUCCUGUUAUAGUCUUGUCUGAUUGGGCAGAUGGAAUUUUAGCCGUUUGAUAGAUUAACAAUCAACGGCUAAGAUUUGGCUGAUGGCUAUCAAACCGAGGGCCCCACCAUUGGAUUUGCGGUUGUUUUGCUCA